UACGAAGGUGGCAAGCGUUAUUCGGAAUCACUGGGCGUAAAGCGCACGUAGGCGGAUCUUUAAGUCGGGGGUGAAAUCCUGGAGCUCAACUCCAGAACUGCCUCCGAUACUGAGGAUCUUGGAGUCCGGGAGAGGUGAGUGGAACUCCGAGUGUAGAGGUGAAAUUCGUAGAUAUUCGGAAGAACACCAGUGGCGAAGGCGGCUCACUGGCCCGGUACUGACGCUGAGGUGCGAAAGCGUGGGGAGCAAACAGG
rnacentral:rRNA from 1 species